rnacentral:rRNA from 1 species
AGAGUUUGAUCAUGGCUCAGAUUGAACGCUGGCGGAAUGCUUUACACAUGCAAGUCGAGGGGCAGCGCGGGUAGCAAUACCUGGCGGCGACCGGCAAACGGGUGCGGAACACGUACGCAACCUUCCCAAAACUGGGGAAUAGCCCUCCGAAAGGAGGAUUAAUACCCCGUAACAUAACGAAGUAGCAUCACUUUGUUAUUAUAGUUCCGACGGUUUUGGAUGGGCGUGCGCCUGAUUAGGUAGUUGGCGGGGUAACGGCCCACCAAGCCUGCGAUCAGUAACUGGUGAGAGAGCACGACCAGUCACACGGGCACUGAGACACGGGCCCGACUCCUACGGGAGGCAGCAGUAAGGAAUAUUGGUCAAUGGACGCAAGUCUGAACCAGCCAUGCCGCGUGAAGGAUGAAGGUCCUCUGGAUUGUAAACUUCUUUUAUAUGGGACGAAAAAAGGGCAUUCUUGCUCACUUGACGGUACCAUAGGAAUAAGCACCGGCUAACUCCGUG